UGAAAAUAAACAUCACCCGGGCAAAAUAGUGAGAGUUCGCAUUGUUGGAGCUCCAGAAAAUCCUUUUGAGGCGGCAAAGAGGAAAAAUAUAUACAAAGAUUCAGGUUUAGAAGAAAAUGACUCAAGAGACGUAGCCCUAGAAAUUAAUGAACCAUCAACUUCUUCUAAAUGUAUUUCUCCUGUUCAGCCUGUUCUCAUGGAAGUCGUUGAAAAUUCGACAAAUUCCGGUAAUGAUAAAUGUAAUAACCCUGCAAAGAAAAUGAAAACUGUCGGCGCCUUGAUUGUGUCACUUUCUGAGAGAAUUUCGGAAGGAUCUGAUGAAGCCAUAUCCCAAAAUAAAAACAUCAAAUCUGACUCAAUUGGUAAAAACUCUAUCUCAGAUGUCAGGGAAGAUGAUGAUGCAUCUGACCAUAAUUUAGUAUUAAAUAAUGGCGGCUACAACAAUGUAUGGACGGA